rnacentral:rRNA from 1 species
UACAGAGGUGGCAAGCGUUGUUCGGAAUUACUGGGCGUAAAGGGCGCGUAGGCGGCCUUGUAAGUCCUGUGUGAAAUCCCCCGGCUCAACUGAGGAACUGCCUUUGAAACUGUCUGGCUUGAGGCCGGGAGAGGGUAGCGGAAUUCCCAGUGUAGCGGUGAAAUGCGUAGAUAUUGGGAGGAACACCAGUGGCGAAGGCGGCUACCUGGACCGGUUCUAACGCUGAGGCGCGAAAGCGUGGGUAGCAAACAGG